rnacentral:rRNA from 1 species
UACGGAGGGUGCAAGCAUUAAUCGGAUUUAUUGGGCGUAAAGGGCGCGUAGGCGGGGAUGUAAGUCAGAUGUGAAAUCCCGGGGCUCAACCUCGGAACUGCAUUUGAAACUAUAUCUCUUGAGGAUGGAAGGAGAAAACGGAAUUCCACAAGUAGCGGUGAAAUGCGUAGAUAUGUGGAAGAACACCGGUGGCGAAGGCGGUUUUCUAUUUUAUUCCUGACGCUGAUGCGCGAAAGCAAGGGGAUCAAACAGG